rnacentral:rRNA from 1 species
UGGGGAAUUUUGCGCAAUGGGGGAAACCCUGACGCAGCAACGCCGCGUGGAGGAUGAAGUCUCUUGGGACGUAAACUCCUUUCGAUUGGGAAGAUUAUGACGGUACCAAUAGAAGAAGCCCCGGCUAACUUCGUGCCAGCAGCCGCGGUAAUACGAGGGGGGCAAGCGUUGUUCGGAAUUAUUGGGCGUAAAGGGUGCGUAGGCGGUUUGGUAAGUCUUGUGUGAAAUCUUCGGGCUCAACUCGAAGUCUGCACGAGAAACUGCCGGGCUUGAGUGUGGGAGAGGUGAGUGGAAUUUCCGGUGUAGCGGUGAAAUGCGUAGAUAUCGGAAGGAACACCUGUGGCGAAAGCGGCUCACUGGACCACAACUGACGCUGAGGCACGAAAGCUAGGGGAGCAAACA